rnacentral:hammerhead_ribozyme from 1 species
GCACUGCUGAGGAGUCCAACAACGUGACGAAACGGUCGUCCAGUGC